rnacentral:ncRNA from 2 species
CAACUAAAUGUUAUUAUUGGUCCUUUAAAUAGGAUAAAAGGGAAUAGAGGUUAAAAGCCUCAGCAGCCCCCGCUACUGUAUGGGAGUACAACGUUUCAAAGCCACUGUGAAUUAUAAAUUCAUGGGAAGGUGAAACUGUAGAGUGAUCCCCGAGCCAGGAGACCUACCAGUGAUAUUGAAUGAUC